rnacentral:rRNA from 1 species
AGAGUUUGAUCCUGGCUCAGGAUGAACGCUGGCGGCGUGCCUAACACAUGCAAGUCGAGCGAACCCUUCGGGGUGAGCGGCGGACGGGUGAGUAACGCGUGGGUAACCUGCCUCAUACACAUGGAUAACAUACCGAAAGGUAUGCUAAUACAGGAUAACAUGUUUUUAUCGCAUGAUAAAAACAUCAAAGCUCCGGCGGUAUGAGAUGGACCCGCGUCUGAUUAGCCAGUUGGUAAGGUAAUGGCUUACCAAGGCGACGAUCAGUAGCCGACCUGAGAGGGUGAUCGGCCACAUUGGAACUGAGACACGGUCCAAACUCCUACGGGAGGCAGCAGUGGGGAAUAUUGCACAAUGGGCGAAAGCCUGAUGCAGCAACGCCGCGUGAGCGAUGAAGGCCUUCGGGUCGUAAAGCUCUGUCCUCAAGGAAGAUAAUGACGGUACUUGAGGAGGAAGCCCCGGCUAACUACGUGCCAGCAGCCGCGGUAAUACGUAGGGGGCUAGCGUUAUCCGGAUUUACUGGGCGUAAAGGGUGCGUAGGCGGUCUUUCAAGUCAGGAGUGAAAGGCUACGGCUCAACCGUAGUAAGCUCUUGAAACUGGGAGACUUGAGUGCAGGAGAGGAGAGUGGAAUUCCUAGUGUAGCGGUGAAAUGCGUAGAUAUUAGGAGGAACACCAGUAGCGAAGGCGGCUCUCUGGACUGUAACUGACGCUGAGGCACGAAAGCGUGGGGAGCGAACAGGAUUAGAUACCCUGGUAGUCCACGCCGUAAACGAUGAGUACUAGGUGUCGGGGGUUACCCCCCUCGGUGCCGCAGCUAACGCAUUAAGUACUCCGCCUGGGGAGUACGCUCGCAAGAGUGAAACUCAAAGGAAUUGGCGGGGACCCGCACAAGUAGCGGAGCA